rnacentral:rRNA from 1 species
CACGUAGGGUGCGAGCGUUGUCCGGAAUUAUUGGGCGUAAAGAGCUCGUAGGCGGUUUGUCGCGUCUGCUGUGAAAACUCGGGGCUCAACUCCGAGCUUGCAGUGGAUACGGGCAGACUAGAGGUAGGUAGGGGAGAAUGGAAUUCCCGGUGUAGCGGUGAAAUGCGCAGAUAUCGGGAGGAACACCGGUGGCGAAGGCGGUUCUCUGGGCCUUACCUGACGCUGAGGAGCGAAAGCGUGGGGAGCGAACAGG